rnacentral:miRNA from 1 species
UUUUGGUAUGUAAUAUAUAAUGUGUGUGUGUGUGUGUGUGUGUGUGUAUAUAUGUAUAUACACACACACACACACACACACACAUUAUAUAUUACAUA